rnacentral:rRNA from 1 species
CCCCGGCAUAUCGCAUGCUAUACAUGCAGUAGAACGCUGAAGAGAGGAGCUUGCUCUUCUUGGAUGAGUUGCGAACGGGUGAGUAACGCGUAGGUAACCUGCCUUGUAGCGGGGGAUAACUAUUGGAAACGAUAGCUAAUACCGCAUAACAAUGGAUGACACAUGUCAUUUAUUUGAAAGGGGCAAUUGCUCCACUACAAGAUGGACCUGCGUUGUAUUAGCUAGUAGGUGAGGUAAUGGCUCACCUAGGCGACGAUACAUAGCCGACCUGAGAGGGUGAUCGGCCACACUGGGACUGAGACACGGCCCAGACUCCUACGGGAGGCAGCAGUAGGGAAUCUUCGGCAAUGGGGGCAACCCUGACCGAGCAACGCCGCGUGAGUGAAGAAGGUUUUCGGAUCGUAAAGCUCUGUUGUAAGUCAAGAACGGGUGUGAGAGUGGAAAGUUCACACUGUGACGGUAGCUUACCAGAAAGGGACGGCUAACUACGUGCCAGCAGCCGCGGUAAUACGUAGGUCCCGAGCGUUGUCCGGAUUUAUUGGGCGUAAAGCGAGCGCAGGCGGUUUGAUAAGUCUGAAGUUAAAGGCUGUGGCUCAACCAUAGUUCGCUUUGGAAACUGUCAAACUUGAGUGCAGAAGGGGAGAGUGGAAUUCCAUGUGUAGCGGUGAAAUGCGUAGAUAUAUGGAGGAACACCGGUGGCGAAAGCGGCUCUCUGGUCUGUAACUGACGCUGAGGCUCGAAAGCGUGGGGAGCGAACAGGAUUAGAUACCCUGGUAGUCCACGCCGUAAACGAUGAGUGCUAGGUGUUGGAUCCUUUCCGGGAUUCAGUGCCGCAGCUAACGCAUUAAGCACUCCGCCUGGGGAGUACGACCGCAAGGUUGAAACUCAAAGGAAUUGACGGGGGCCCGCACAAGCGGUGGAGCAUGUGGUUUAAUUCGAAGCAACGCGAAGAACCUUACCAGGUCUUGACAUCCCGAUGCUAUUUCUAGAGAUAGAAAGUUACUUCGGUACAUCGGUGACAGGUGGUGCAUGGUUGUCGUCAGCUCGUGUCGUGAGAUGUUGGGUUAAGUCCCGCAACGAGCGCAACCCCUAUUGUUAGUUGCCAUCAUUCAGUUGGGCACUCUAGCGAGACUGCCGGUAAUAAACCGGAGGAAGGUGGGGAUGACGUCAAAUCAUCAUGCCCCUUAUGACCUGGGCUACACACGUGCUACAAUGGUUGGUACAACGAGUUGCGAGUCGGUGACGGCGAGCUAAUCUCUUAAAGCCAAUCUCAGUUCGGAUUGUAGGCUGCAACUCGCCUACAUGAAGUCGGAAUCGCUAGUAAUCGCGGAUCAGCACGCCGCGGUGAAUACGUUCCCGGGCCUUGUACACACCGCCCGUCACACCACGAGAGUUUGUAACACCCGAAGUCGGUGAGGUAACCUUUGGAGCCAGCCGCCUAAGGUGACAGAAAAGGGGA